rnacentral:rRNA from 1 species
AGCAGCCGCGGUAAUUCCAGCUCCAAUAGCGUAUAUUAAAGUUGUUGCAGUUAAAAAGCUCGUAGUUGAAUUUCGGGGUUAGUAGGUUGGUCAUGCCUCUGGUAUGUACUGGUCUCACUGAUUCCUCCUUCCUGAUGAGCCGUAAUGCCAUUAAUUUGGUGUUGCGGGGAAUUUGGACUGUUACUUUGAAAAAAUUAGAGUGUUUAAAGCAAGCUAACGCUUGAAUACAUUAGCAUGGAAUAAUGAAAUAGGACGUUCGAUCCUAUUUUGUUGGUUUCUAGGAUUGACGUAAUGAUUAAUAGGGAUAGUUGGGGGCAUUAGUAUUCAAUUGUCAGAGGUGAAAUUCUUGGAUUUAUUGAAGACUAACUACUGCGAAAGCAUUUGCCAAGGAUGUUUUCAUUAAUCAAGAACGAAAGUUAGGGGAUCGAAGACGAUCAGAUACCGUCGUAGUCUUAACCACAAACUAUGCCGACUAGGGAUCGGAUGAUGUUAAUUUUUUAAUGACUCA